rnacentral:rRNA from 1 species
AUUGAACGCUGGCGGCAGGCCUAACACAUGCAAGUCGAGCGGAUGAAGGGAGCUUGCUCCUGGAUUCAGCGGCGGACGGGUGAGUAAUGCCUAGGAAUCUGCCUGGUAGUGGGGGAUAACGUCCGGAAACGGGCGCUAAUACCGCAUACGUCCUGAGGGAGAAAGUGGGGGAUCUUCGGACCUCACGCUAUCAGAUGAGCCUAGGUCGGAUUAGCUAGUUGGUGGGGUAAAGGCCUACCAAGGCGACGAUCCGUAACUGGUCUGAGAGGAUGAUCAGUCACACUGGAACUGAGACACGGUCCAGACUCCUACGGGAGGCAGCAGUGGGGAAUAUUCGACAAAGGGCGAAAGCCUGGUCCAGCCAUGCCGCGUGUGUGAAGAAGGUCUUCGGAUUGUAAAGCACUUUAAGUUGGGAGAAAGGGCAGUAAGUUAAUACCUUGCUGUUUUGACGUUACCAACAGAAUAAGCACCGGCUAACUUCGUG